UACGGGGGGGGCAAGCGUUGUUCGGAAUUACUGGGCGUAAAGGGCUCGUAGGUGGCCAACUAAGUCAGACGUGAAAUCCCUCGGCUUAACCGGGGAACUGCGUCUGAUACUGGAUGGCUUGAGUUCGGGAGAGGGAUGCGGAAUUCCAGGUGUAGCGGUGAAAUGCGUAGAUAUCUGGAGGAACACCGGUGGCGAAGGCGGCAUCCUGGACCGACACUGACGCUGAGGAGCGAAAGCCAGGGGGGAGCAAACGG
rnacentral:rRNA from 1 species